rnacentral:tRNA from 1 species
GCAUGAGUGGCUUAGUCGGUUGAGCAUCCGACUUCAGCUCGGGUCAUGAUCUCCCAGUUCGUGAGUUUGAGCCCCGCGUCAGGCU